rnacentral:lncRNA from 1 species
GUGGUCUAUUAUUCUCUCCCCCCAGUUUUCAGCUCAAAAAGGCAGAGUACAGAAUGGAUCACUGAAUCUCUUCAUUCUCCCUUUCUCAACAGAUCUAAUUGCUGCCUCUUACUUGGGAAUGGAAUGGAUGAAGCGAUAUGUAUGUGUGAGGGGAGAGGACUAAGAGAGUAUCCUUAACAGGCAAGAUUUCAGCUUCAAAGUCUCCUGUACCUCUCCUCACCCCAGCCUUAGACAACUCAGCCUAACACCAUCAUCGCCACCAUCACCAAUUCACUGUCGUCCGAUAGUCAUGCACAGGCUUCUAUGUCUGACUUCUGAGCCAACCACGAAGCUGACUCCUUAAAGUCUUAUUCGAGUUAA